CAGUAGCCGCGGUAAUACAGAGGGUGCGAGCGUUAAUCGGAUUUACUGGGCGUAAAGCGUGCGUAGGCGGCUUCUUAAGUCGGAUGUGAAAUCCCUGAGCUUAACUUAGUAAUUGCAUUCGAUACUGGGAAGCUAGAGUAUGGGAGAGGAUGGUAGAAUUCCAGGUGUAGCGGUGAAAUGCGUAGAGAUCUGGAGGAAUACCGAUGGCGAAGGCAGCCAUCUGGCCUAAUACUGACGCUGAGGUACGAAAGCAUGGGGAGCAAACAGGAUUAGAUACCCGAGUAGUCCCUGUCUCUUAUAA
rnacentral:rRNA from 1 species